rnacentral:rRNA from 1 species
AAUGAACGCUGGCAGCGUGCCUAACACAUGCAAGUCGAGCGGUCCGUAAGGACAGCGGCAGACGGGUGAGUAAUUGGUUGGGAACAUACCCAGAAGUGGGGGAUAGCCGCUCGAAAGAGUGGGUAAUCCCGCAUGUGAUCGCAAGAUCAAAGCAUUUAUGCGCUUCUGGAGUGGCCCAACUCCUAUCAGCUUGUUGGUGGGGUAAUGGCCUACCAAGGCUACGACGGGUAGCUGGUCUGAGAGGAUGACCAGCCACACUGGGACUGAGACACGGCCCAGACACCGACGGGUGGCAGCAGUUGGGAAUAUUGCACAAUGGGCGAAAGCCUGAUGCAGCGACGCUGCGUGAAGGAUGAAGGCCUUCGGGUUGUAAACUUCUUUUGGCGGGGAGUAAUCUUGAACGUACCCGCAGAAUAAGCACCGGCUAACUACGUGCCAGCAGCCGCCGCCG